UGUUGGGGGUUUUUUGUUUGGGGUUUUUUUUUUGUUUGGUGUUUUUUGUUUGUUUGGGGGGUUUGGGGGUUGGAACCCACUGGGAAUAUCCCAGAGCAGGUCUGUGCCUAAUGGGAACUGGGCAAGAGGCUGAAAAGGGAGCAAUGGGAGAGUGGAAACAGCACAGCAAGCAGAGAACAAACCACAAAGCCCAGAGUCCUGCUCCCUCCAUGGGCUCCCACGUCCCUCCUUCACUCCCAAGCUUUGGGAUGGAGGGGUGGCAGGGCAGGGCCCGGGGGAGCUGCAGGCACAGCUCCCCAGCAAAGGGCCGGGGCGUUGGUGUGCCCAGCGCCGUGCACAGGGGCCACGCACUGCCAGCCCGGGAUUUCAGCUCUCCUGGGAUUUCUCCUGGGCUUUCUCCUGCUCUCCCCUGUUCCUGUAACGCAGGAAGCCAAAAGUGAGGGGGCGGAGGGUAAAGGAGCCCAGCCCCAGCCCUGCUCACCCCAAAGCCUCCCUGGCCAGCUGCUGCCAAGUCCCUGGGGCACUGCAGGACCCUUUGUCCUGGGCUUGAGCCACCUCCUGCCCAGCUGCUGGGUGGCCAAACGUCCAGGCCGAGAGGCUGGGACAGAGCCAGGCCUGUGCUGCCCGGAGCAGAGGGCACGGCACAGCUCUGGUGACAUCACCACGUUCCCUUUUUCCACAGCAGAUUCUGUAUGCAGAGGAGCAGCAUCCGAACCCAGCUGGCCCUUCAAGUCCAAUUCCCUCCCAGAACAGGAAUAAAGAGCUGUCCUGCCCUAGUAGGGAUGCAAAUAUCCUGAUUCACAGCUUGAACUUCCAAGGUGGAUUCCUGACUUGCAGGAGACCUUCCAUCCUGCAGCUCUGCAGCCUGUGCACUGGGGGAUCUGCAGCUGCAGCCAGGACAGCAGCCCGAGCUGAGCACUGGGGAGGAAGGCAGGAGGAUCGCCCGGAGGAGGAGCUCUGUCCCACAUCCACAGGGAACUGCAGAAAGGGAAAAUGCAAAACAAAGCACUUAGGAAGGCAGAAUUCCUAUUUUUGCCCCACAAAACUGCUAAUCCGGAGAUGCUGUAAUGAACUGGGAGCAGCAGGAGGAACAGCCUGCUGGGGGAACUGAUGGGGCUACUCAAGAAGCUCGAGCUGUGCUGCCCCAGAGGCAACAAACCCCACCCACAAUUUCACCUGCAGGCUUCCAGCCAGGAAUGAUUCAUUUCUUGGAAAAUACAGGAGAUAUCCUCAACUUUUCGUGCAAAAAAGCUGCCUGGAUUUUGGAUCCCCUGCACAGAGAUGAUACAAACCAACACGAUACCAGUGCAAGUUUCAUGAAACUUUUUAUUCAACAAGUAUUUAAUUAUGAUUCUGCCAAGAUGAUCGAAUGAACAGCAAGGCAUAAAAAACAUGAAAUAGUUAAGAGAUUUUAUUCUAAUAGCUUUAAUUACAGUGCUUGUUUGUCGAAAUGAAAACUGAAAACAAGUAUACAAAACAGUUGAUUACUAGUUGUGUAUUGAAAGCAAUAAAGGUUUCCACAACACUAAAUAAACCAGUUCUGAUAGUUCCUCGAGUUAAAGUUUAACAGCUCCAGCUUCUUCAGUGUUUAUCAAAAUACAAAAGAAAAGUAAAGAGGUCUUUUUUUUAUUUUUCUGAUGGCAAAUCUGAACCUUGCAGUAUGAGGGAUGCCAAGGGUUUUCACACAUAUACAGAUAUGGGAUUGUUCCAAAAUGGGAUUGAAUACUCGUAGAGUGGAAUGACUCUCCAAACUCUCAUGCUUUUUGUUGUUUUUUUUUCCCUAGACACUAUACAUAGAUGUUUGGUGUUUUUCAUGGCAAUUCUUACGUUAAGUACAGUACUUUCUGCCUAUAGAGCUUAGGACUAGGACAGGCUGUGCUUCCUGUGGAAAGGUUUUGCCUCCUGGAGUGGUUUACGCACAAGAAAAGUACAAAACACUUUUUGACAAAUAUGACAGGCUAAAAAU